AUGAACGCUAGCGACAGGCCUAACACAUGCAAGUCAGGGGCAGCACAGGAGCAAUCUGAGGUGGCGACCGGCGCACGGUGAGUAACACGUAUGCAACCUGCCUGUAAGCGGGGAAUAACCCGUUGAAAGACGGACUAAUACCGCAUAAUACUAAAUUACUGCAUGGUAAUUUAUUUAAACAUUUUAUGGCUUACAGAUGGGCAUGCGCAUGAUUAGCUAGUUGGAGAGGUAACGGCUCCCCAAGGCAACGAUCAUUAGGGGUUCUGAGAGGAAGGUCCCCCACACUGGUACUGAGACACGGACCAGACUCCUACGGGAGGCAGCAGUGAGGAAUAUUGGUCAAUGGACGAGAGUCUGAACCAGCCAAGUCGCGUGCAGGAAGAAUGUCCCUAUGGAUUGUAAACUGCUUUUGCAGGGGAAUAAAGUGCAUCACGUGUGAUGUUUUGUAUGUACUCUGCGAAUAAGGAUCGGCUAACUCCGUGCCAGCCGCUGC
rnacentral:rRNA from 1 species